rnacentral:rRNA from 1 species
AGAGUUUGAUCAUGGCUCAGAGCGAACGUUAGCGGCAGGCUUAACACAUGCAAGUCGAGCGAGAAAGGGACUUCGGUCCUGAGUAAAGCGGCGGACGGGUGCGUAACACGUGGAUAAUCUGCCCUUUAGUGGGGAACAACAGUCCGAAAGGAUUGCUAAUGCCGCAUGUCACGGCAGAAACUCCGGUUUCAGUCGGAAAA